rnacentral:lncRNA from 14 species
CACAGAGACUGUCCCCAGGAAUCCCACAAUCCCAGGGCGCUGGUGAGGCCGAGACAGAAAUCCCAAGAUUCUGGUUGGAACCAAGACCCUUCAGUUGAGUGAAAAAUCCUGUCCUGCUCUGGCCUCUGCCCUGCUCUGAAC